GUCUAUGGCCAUACCACGCUGAACACACCCCGAUCUUGUCUGAUCUCAGAAGCUAAGUAGGGUUGGGCCUGGUUAGUAAUACUUGGAUGGGAGAAAGUUCAUUUAUUGACU
rnacentral:rRNA from 1 species